rnacentral:lncRNA from 1 species
AGUUUUAAUAAUACUGCUAAUACCAAUCCAAAACAAAUCUAUCCAAGACUGGUAUCACAACUUCACAGAAUGUCUUGGAGUACUACAAAUAAAGGUCUGAAAGAAAUAAAUACAAUGCUGUCUCUGGAAAUACAUGAAAGAAACAGGAAUAGUAGAUAGAAGGAGACGCCAAGGCCUGCGGACGCCUGCAGGACUACUUCGGGUCGCCUGAACAAGAAACAACAAUCUCACUGCGGUCCGAAGUCUACAGCACUGGGAUCUGCACAAAGGAGUGCAGAGUGUAGUAUCAGCACAACUGACCCCAUGUGCUGGUAAGUGCCUAGCCUAACCUCGGCGAAGUACUGACCAGGCUAGGACCAGACUACCAAAUAAACCUGUACAAUUAAAUCAUAUACAGCAAAAAAGAAGAACAGUAAUGUACAGUUAAGUAUGGGAGGGGGUAACAUGUUGCGGGGACAUUGAAUAAUAACAGAAGAACAACAAAUAAAUAUGAGGAUCACCACAGUUCAAUUGAAAAUAGGAAAGGGAGAUCAUGUUGUGGGGUACAACAAGUAUCAAGGAAACCAACAAUUAAAUGUAGAGAAAUUGUAACUCAGUUAUCAAUAAAAAAUCAGGAAAACAAAGAUAAGUGCACGGCAUCGCCCUUCGUGCUUUAACACUCUCUCACCAAAACAAUACAUGGUGUCACCCUUCGUGCUUUAACACUCUCUCACCAAAACAAUACACAGCAUCACCCUUCGUGAUUUACACUCUUCCUCACCCAAGAAACAAACACAAGGCAAAUAGGGUAAGGGAAUCUAUAACAUCGAAAUAAAAUCAGGUAACAACAGAAAAUCAGUGAAUAAACGUAAAGGACAAUAUAACUAAUUAUCAGCAAGAAUCAGGAAAAUCAAGGACAAGUGCACGGCAUCACCCUUCGUACUUUUACUCUCGUCCUUACCAUAAGAAUCAAUAUAAACUGCAUUGUAUCACCCUUCGUGCUUUUACUCUCAUCCUCACCAUAAAAUCAAUAUAAUCGGCAUGGAAUUGUACAUCGUGCGGCACGGCAUCACCCUUCGUGCAUUACACUCUUUCCUCACAAAUCAUACACGACAUCACCCUUCGUGCUUUAACUCUCUCUCACCAAAAUAAUACAUGGCAUCACCCUUCGUUCUUUAACAUUCUUCCUCACCCAAACAACAACCACAAACAAUAGGGAAAUGGAAUAAAUGAAAUUACGAUAAGAAUCCCGGCAAGGAGAUAAUAUUAAAAGCAACAAUAUCCCGGCAAGGGAGAUAAUAUAAUGAUUCUCUUCUCUUUUUCACUUUUACUUCACAACUCACUUCACAACUUUAAGCCAAUGCUCUAAAAGGUUCAAUUUCCACUUAUACUUUCACAUUUCAUUGUACAACUUGAACCAACGCUCCUCAAUGUUCAAAUAUCACAAUUACUUCCACAAACUUUUCCCAAUAAUAGAAAUCAUUAUCAAAGCAUGAAUAAUACAAUGAAGCCAUAAUAAUCACAAUAUAAGACUUACGGGCAUGCUUGACACUAACGUAUAGAUACUUGUCAUCAUGCUUAUACGUCGUACUCGACAAAUACCACAUAGCAAAUAGGACUCGACUCCUAAUCUCUCAAGCUAAGGUUAGACCAAACACUUACCCCGAUGCCACGAACAUAAUUCAAGCCUCUACUAUCUCUUUACCUCUUGAUUCCACCACCAAUUCGCUCGUAUCUAGUCACAAGUUACUUAAUUAUAUCAAUAAAUGCUAAAGGAAUCAAUUCUAAUGCAUGAGAAUAAGUUUUCUAAAGUUUUACCCAAAAAGUCAAAAAUCACCCCCGAGCCCACAUGGUCAAAACUCGAGGUUCAAACCAAAACCCGAUUACCCAUUCCCCCACGAAUAUAAAUAUAUAAUUUAUUUUGAAAUCGGACCUCAAAUCGAGGUCCAAGUUCCCAAUUUUUUAAAAACCUAGGUUCUACCCAAAAUACCCAAUUUUCCCCAUGAAAAUAAUUGAUUUUGAGUUGAAAUCAUGUGAAAAGAUGUUAAUGAUUGAAAAAAAUAGUUAGAAAUCACUUACAAUCGAUUAGGAAGAGAAGUUGCCUUUGAAAAAUCGCCCUAGAGAGUUUAUGUUUUGAGAAGAUGUGAAAAAUGGUUGAAAAUACGUCUAAGUAAUGAACUUACAGGUUGCAGGUAUCGCAAUUGCAAUUAAGGUUCGCAAUUGCGAACCCAGGCUCUGCUAAGCUUGCAUUUGCGAAGCAAUUUUUGCGAACAAACAGCCGCAUUUGCGAUGACAGGCCCAAAUGGGGAGCAUCGCAUUUGCGAAGGAAAAUUUUGCAUUUGCGAGGAUGGGCUGGCCUGGCCUGGUUCGCAUUUGCGACUCAGCCUUCACAUUUGCAAACUCGCAUUUGCGAGCUAGGCUUCGCAAAUGCUUGCAGGCCUACAAUGAAAUAGCUGAAGUUUGUAACUUUCCAAGUCCAAAAUCCACCCCGUGGCCUAUCCAAAACUUACCCGAGCCCUCGAGGCUCCAAACCAAACAUGCACACCAACCUAAAAACAUCAUACGUACUCGCUCGUGCAUUCAAAUCACUAAAAUAACAUCAACAACUAUGAAUUUAGCAUCAAAAUCAUGAAAUUUCUUAAGAACUUCAAAUUUUCUAAUUUUCUCAAAAACGAUCUGAUUCACGUCGUUUUAAGUCCGUUUCUUACCAAAUUUCACAGACUUAUCUUAAAUUACAUAUAAGACCUGUACCGGGCACCGGAACCAAAAUACGGGCCCGAUACCAUCAAAUUGUAAACACAUUUCAUUUCCAAAACUCAUAAAUAAUUCCAAAAAAUAAUUUUCUUUAAAAAUUCAUUUCUCGGACUUAGGACCUCGGAAUUCGAUUUCGGGCAUACGCCCAAGUCCCAUAUUUUUCUACGGACCCUCCGGGACCGUCAAAUCACGGGUCCGGAUCUGUUUACCCAAAAUGUUGACCAAAGUCAACUUAAAUCCAUUUUAAAGUCAAAAUUUAUUAUUUUUCACAGAUUUUCACAUAAUAGCUUUCCGGUUACGCGCACGGACUAUACGCACAAAUCAAGGUGAUGCUAAAAGAGAUUUUUAAGGCCUUAGAAUGUAGAAUUUACUUUUAAAACAAGUGAUAACCUUUUGGAUCAUCACAGUUCUCCAGGUGGGAGCCUGAUUACCAACAUUUGAAUUGUAUUCCUUCCCUCUGAAACUUGAAUUAUUUUCCCUUUAUUUUCUAGGUGGGCGCCUGAUUGUUGAACUUGACCCGUCUUCCUUUUAACAUUGCUGCAUUCCCUUUGUUCUCCAGGUGAGCGCCUUAUUACCAACAUUUGAAUUUUUUUUCCUUGAGACUUGAACUGCUUCUCCUUGUUCUCCAGGUGGUCGCCUGAUAUCCAACACUUGCACUGUUUUUCCUUGAGACUUAAGCUGUUUCUCCUUGUUCUCCAGGUGGGUGUCUAAUUUCCAACACUUGCACUAUCUUUCCCUCGAAACUUGACUUGUUUUCCCUUGUUCUCCAAGUGAGUUCCUGAUUGUUGAACUUGAACCAUCUUCUUUUGCUACUUGGAACUGUUUUCCGUAGAAACUUGCACUAUUUUCCCUUGCUCUCCAGGUGGGCGCCUGAUUGCUGAAAUCGCGUUGUUUUCCUUUGAAACUUGAGUUGUUCCAUUUGUUCUCCAGGUGGGCUCCUGAUUGCUGAACCUGAACUGCUUUCUCUUGAAACUGCUUUUCUUUGAACUUUCUUCCCUUGUUCUCCAGGUGGGUGCCUGAUUGCUGAACUUGACCCGCUUUUCUUUGAAACUUGAGCUGUUUUCCCUUGUUCUCCAGGUGGGUUCCUGAUUGCUGAACUCGAACUAUCUUCUCUUGAAACUUGAUCUACUUUCCCUUGUUCUCUAGGUGGACGCCUGACUGCUGAACUUGACCCGCUUUCCCUUGAAACUUGAGUUGUUUUCCCUUGUUCUCCAGGUGGGCACCUAAUUGCAACAAAAUAGACAAAACAAAAGAAAUUUUUCUGCCCCAGUUUGAUAUUGGGAACAUCUGUGAGUGUUAACUAAUUCUUGUUAUCAAAAUAAGUUCUAAGCUAAAUUCCCUUAUCCUGAAAAAUUUCAAACCAAGUCUCGUCUCAAAAGUGAAAAACUUUAAAUGCUAAUUAUACUUCCCCAAAGUAGAACUUACGUCAGACCUUGUCACUUGCGAGGGUCUCAAAAGUUACUAAAUCCCGUUAUCCAGGAGGGUACUCAAAACUUACUGCCGAGCCUAUCUGGCACCUGCUUUCCUCACGGAGGGUUUCUUCGGAACAAACAAAAUUUCCUGCCCCUGUUUCAAUCAAAGAAAACUUGUAAGUUUAAACAUGGUGGUUGGUUUGUGGCCUUGACUUUGAGGGCGAUUGCUCUUUCACUUCCUAUGAUAACUUCGAUUUCAACUCAAAAGACCUUGCUAAUUUAUUGAUUGACCACUUUCUUUGUUACCCUUAUCACAAAAAAUACCUCUGAUCCGUUCAAACCCAAUAUCAUUCCUCUGUUGCAUUAUGCUCAUGCAUUGACAUAUAUUGAACCUUUGUGUUUCACACGAAUCCCAAAGCACGUCAAUUGCCACCCACUCAGUGUGCAUGCCGUUCAUUCCUGACUUAAACCACUGGCCUUGGCCAUGAGGUCUAUUGCUCCUUCACUUGCCAUGAUAACUCUAAUUUCCGCUUGGAAGACCUUCCUUGUCAUUGGUUAACCACUUUCUCUGUCAACCUUAUCAUAUAAAAUACCUCUGAUCCGUACAAACCCAAUACCAUUUAUCUAUAUACCGAACCUUUGUAUUUCACAUGAAUCCCAAAGCACACCGAUUGUUAUCCAUUUAGUGCAUAUACUGCUCUUUCCUGACUUAUGCCACUUUGAUGUGCUAGCUAGAUCCCGUUUUGUGCAAUUGGAAAGCUGGUAGCAAAUUUUGAAGUCAUUUCUCACUUGUUCUGACCAAACAGACUCAGGAAGAGGAAAUAAACAAGAUAAAAUGAAUAGAGUAAAAGACAAUGGAAAGAAAUGAUUCCUAACAAGAAAACUACAAAGUAAAAACUUAUCAAAUAUGGAUACCAACUCUAAUGACCAUGAUACGUAUUUUUGGAUUAGUGGCAUAAUCUGUCAAGAAAGUCUAAUGUUCAACUAUUGUUGUACCUCUUGGCCGUGAAACUGGGCUUCAAUGCUCUGAUUAUCCUAUCUGAUUCACAAUCCUUAUUUGACUUGUAGUGCCUGAAGGGUUUUCACCAUCAAGCCUCUCUCAUUUUGUUCUUUCUCUCAACUUACUGUCGCUUUAUGGUUCCUGUGAAGGUUUUCACCAAUAAGACUCUCUCAUUUUAUUUUUUUCUUCUUAUUUCCUCUGAUUCUGCAGAUGACAAGGCAUUAACCAUGAUAAAAACAUCAUAUACUCUUGGCAUGUCUAAACUUAGGACUCACAGAAAUUAUCUGGGAGGUCUUUUUUGGACUAUAAUGUGGCUUUUGGACAGGGUUAAAAAGAAAGGAUAUCAUAAAGGCUCAAAAUAACUAAGACAGCGGGGUUAAUUUAUUUACAACUUUUGAAAUCCAUUCUAGAAACUUUGCCCCAAUUUCUAAAACAAGGGAAUUUGAUUCUUUUUUUUCUUUUCUUUUGAUGGAGUUACUAAGAAAGACUGCCCCACUCUCGACUUCAUGGGAUUAUGAAAUAUUUUAUUUGGCAUGACCGAAUGGUAAGGCUGCCUACGUAUCUUGUGGUGACAAGAAUCAGGUCAAACAUAGUUUACAAAGAUACGUUUUGUUACUAUUUUCCUUUUUUCUUUUUUUUUCUUUUCCUUCUUCUUUUUUUCCGUUUUUUUCUUUUUCUCUAUUUUUUCUCUUUUUUUUUUUUGAAUUUUCCUUCUGGAAUAAACUUUCCAAAAUAAACCUAUGGGGACAUGAAAUUUAUUUUUCGUAUGACUCUAACUUGAUUCCAAAAGAAGGGAGGUCAAAGAAAUCAGUACAUGCUCAAAAGGGGAUCGAAGGGUAUAAGUGUUUGGGUGGCUGAAAGAGGGCUUCCCAAUCUCUGAAAAUGCCAAGUACAACACAUGCAACUUGAGGAUGAAAAUUGAAGAGCACACACAAUAUUUCUUUAGCAGCUUCGCCAUUGAAUCACUAACAUGCCUUCCACUUUCUUUAGCGCUUUGUCAAGUACAGAACUCUCGUUGGGCAAUUUCUCCUUCACAAUGGAUACCGUCCGCCAAUUCGGAGAAAACUUUCUUGACUUUAUCUUGUAACUUGAGAUGCACUUGAACUCAAAGUUGCUUGCUUCAAAUUGUCUGGGAUGUACUCUCCUUUAACGAAUCCUUAUCAUCCUAUUAACUUCCCAAAUUAAUUACCUCAGUUUCACACAGUUCGGGCUUCAAAUGACCUCAAAAUGUCCAAAUCUGUAUUUAUUUCCCUCAAGUGUUCCCAUCAUCUUUAAAAUUGUUUCAUUGCUUCAUGAUUAAACUAAUUUUUAAGACCAGACCUAGAACUAUGCGAGCAUGUCAUGUCCUAGAGCCGGCAUGAAAAGAACUAUAAAAGGAAAAAAAGAGAACUAAACAAAAAUAACUAGAAAUAACAGAAAAUAAAAAAAUUCAUUUGACAGACGGUGAAAGAGUUUGAACAACAAAACAAGCAAAAUAAAUUGUGUUAUAACCCUGGAACAAACCUAGAUAACACUAAAUGAGUUUCUACGGUUAAAGGAACUAGGCAAAAUAAAAGUAUAGGAGGGUUUGGGUCACAAGACAAUAUCCGGAUUACAGCCCUGAAAUAACCCGGACAACAGAAAUAACAAUAAAAUUAACCAUCAAAACUCCUCCCUAGCUAGCCAAGAAAGGAGCGUCUUUCUAAUUACCAAGCUCGACAUCUUAGCCACUGAGUUCCACAUCAAUGUUACCAAGACCAUUGCCAAUUUCCAUAUCAUUAACUUCAGUCAGCAAGUUCCCAAGAGAAUUCUCAUGCUCCCUAUCACCACGCAUCAUCCCCACAAAGUGUGCAUCAUCAUGUGCAGGUAAAGGAUUCUGCGUGAUAUGCUAGGUGUCACUAUCCUGGAUCACAAUUAUCCCUUCUUGAAUCAUUCUUUCUAUUUCCUUUUUCAAAGCACGGAAAUCUUCAAUGCUAUGACCUUGGACAUUAGAGUGGUACAUGCACCGUACAGUAGGAUCAAAACCUUUUGCAUAUGGGUUUGGAGUAUAGAUGAGGAGCGGUUCAAUCAGGCCAGAGUAUUUUAAAUUUUCAAAUAGGCUUGUAUAGGAUUUUCCAAUUGGCAUGAAACUAUUUCCAUGUCCCAGUUUUCUAGGGUUGUUUGAUGCUCGAAAAAGCUAUGAAGGCACACGAGAAUUUUGGGAUGCUGGUGCUCGCCCUAAGGAGUGACCUAGUGGUUGGACAGAUGGCCGGAUGUUGUUCGGAGGAUAAUACUAGGGUGGAUUAUGUGGAGUUUGGGGAUGUUCAUGGGGUCGGUAUUGAGGCUGAAAGCAUUUAGCAGGAAUGCCCACUAGAUCCUGUCGUUGGCUGGGCUCAGCAACCUUUUUUCUAUUGAUGGGUGGACUACCCCGAGCAACUUGUUCGUUCCAUCUGAACCAAAAUUCCCUAAAACUUUCCUUGGGUUUCUUUUCUGAGAUAGGAGGAGCGAUCUGGGACAAUGUCUAUAUUGUACUGAAAGUGUCGCACAAAAUCUUGAGCCAUGUCAUCCCAUGUAUGCCACUUACCGACAUCUUGACGAGUAUGCCAUUCCAAAGCUUCCCUAGUCAGGCUCUCAUUGAAAUAUGCCAUUAGCAACUCAUCUUUCCCGCCAACACUUCUCAUUCUAUUGCAAUAACCCUUCAGAUGGGCUACUGGAUAUCCACGCCCAUCAUACAAAUUAAACUUUGGCAUCUUAAACCCUUUUAGCUUUCUAGAUAUUUCAUCUUGCUCCACUGUCUUAGUAGGCUUUGUAGUCUCACCGGGAGGCUGAAAAUGAGGAGCUUAAGAAUAUGGACCCAAGACCUUAAAAAUUGGUUCUGGAGCAUAUGUUGGGCCUCUGGAAUUUUGAACACAGUCUCGCCAGAGGAUCGAGGAAAGGUAGCAGGUGGAUGAGCUACAAAAACAUGUAUGGUUAAAGGAGCAGGAUAUGAGGUGGUUGUAGGGGUGGAGUGUGAAAAGGUUUUGAGGAGAUAUCCUGGACUUGUGACAGUGGCAGAAUGGUGACAAGGCUUUCAGUAUAGUUAGUGGGAACUGAUAGUGGAGGACGCCCACUAAUCCAGGCUUGGUAUAUUUCGGCCAUCUGUCCUUUCAACCUUAAGACCUCUUCUUUCAACUCAGAUUCUGAUUCAACAAUUCCCUUAGACGGAUCAAUAACCCAUGUGUCCAAGUCUUUGCUAGUCAUUGCUACCUUGCUCUUUGACCUUGUGUUGUAUAGAUGAGUUACUUAUGAACCACAAACCAACCACCCUUCUGCUCAAUGAAGAUAACAAAAGGAACAAAAUGGGGUCAUCCUGUUAGCGUUAGGGCAUUUAGCAGCUAAAAAUAUCACAUCGCGUGCAAUGCACCUAGCAACAAUUAACGGUUUUAGAAUAACUUCGAGGGUCACAAGGUCACUUGGCAUCAUUCCAAUUUUGUUCAUUUCAACCUUCUCUUUUCUUUCCUUUUCUAGUACUUGCUUGCUCAUUUUCCUUCCAUUUUUUUUUUAAUUAUCACUCUUUUCUUUCCUCUCAUUUCUCACAUCCCAUAAUUUCAUCUUUUUUUUUCUUUUUCUUUUUCUUUUUCUUUUUCCUUUUUUUCCUUUUUUUUAAAAAAUGAUUCGAUUGAACUCUAUGUAGGUUUCCUACGUAUCAUGACGUCGCAUGAGUCAGAUCUUUGUGUAGUUCAGGAAGAUCGGGAAAAAAGUAUACAAACUAACGUUCUCUUUCUUUUUUUUACCUUAGUGACUACUCUGAUGAGAAAAGAGAAAUAAAAAAUGCAAAUCUUUUUUUAUGAAUUUUCUAGACUUAAUGUUCUAUAACCUAUUCUAAACUCAAGCUUAACGAGCAUAUAUUUUUCUUUUUCUUUUUGAAACAGAUACUCUAUGAGAAAUUAUUAAGGGAAAAAAAUCCUAGAAGAGAAAAAUAUUUUUUUUGAUUCUUUUUUUAGGAAGGAAAUCUAUAGAAUAGACCAAAGAAAAAUAUUUUUAAUUUUCAUUUGAUAUCCUGAAAAAAAAUUUCGAAAUGAGAAAUGAAAAAGAUAAAAAAAAUAUUGUUUUUGGAUUUCAGUUUUUGAUUACCUAAGGAAAAAACUCUAAAGAUAAACAACAUAUAAUGUCUGUAUUUUUUCUCUUCUAUGUACAGUAUCCUAAAGUUCUAGCGAAAAUAAAAAGAAUAUUUUUUUUAUUUUUCAUUAGUUUCCCAAAGAAGAGCCUCAAAAGAAAAUCUUUUUGGAUUUUUGAAAUUAAUACCUUAAAGAAAACUCUUUAAAGAGGUACUAAAAGAAAAUUCUCAUUUUUUUUUUGAAUUUUUAGUCCUAAUAUACUAAAGGAAAUAUAAAAAUAAUUUUUAUUUUAAAUUCUAGAUAUUGAUUUCCUAAAGGAAAAACCACCUCAAUUGAAAUUUUUUUUAAUUCCUAGAAUUAGUAUUCUGAAUAAGACUUCUAACGGAAAUAUAAAAACGCAAAAUCUCUUCUUUUUUUUUAAUUUUUGAUUUAUAAAACACUUUUUCAACUAUAAAAUAGAAAGUACAAUAAUAAUAAAAAACUUGAUAUUACUAUACAAAACUAGAAAGUAAAAGAUGACAUAAAAAUAAAAACAGACUCAAAACAUAAAAAAAAAACUUCUUUUAAUCCACUUCUGAUAAGCGAUCCUGACUAGAUGGUCCUGGGGAUCUGUCAUACUCAAACUCCGGUAAGUAAAUCCACACCUAUUUGAGAAAAUUAAAACCAAAUAAGUUAAAGACCUAGAACGCUAUGUGAGACAAUAACCCUUCAUGUUGGACACAUGCAAGACAUGAUUGAGGCAAUUUUUGCAAAAUAGCUUAUUUGGCCCAAAAGAUGGCUAGAAGUGAAAAAUUUGGCUAAGACCCUACAAAGCCAAGGACCUAAACUCACUAGGAAGACCGGACCCUAUGUGGGUUGCCUACGUAUCACGACGCAAAAGACGAGAAUCAGGUAUGCGUAGUUCGGGCAGAUUGGAUACGCGCGAGAAUUUUGUCUUUUUUUUUUGAAAAAUGAUGAAACAUGUAAAAUAUUUUUAGAUUCUCUUUUCCCUUUUUUUUUGAUUUUUUGAUUUUCAGAAUGACGAAAAAGUGCAAAAUCUUUUUUUGGCAUUUUUCAUGUAUUUUUUUCUUUUUCUUAACAAAAAUGUGAAAAAAAACAUAACGGUGCCCUACUUGCUUUAUUUUCAUACUUCACCCUCUUUUCUCUUUUUUUCAUUUGCCCUCAACUAUCAUUAGUCCGCCAAAUGACCCUUUUACCCUUGAGGAUAUGCAACAUGUAGCACAUAGGAUGCAGCAAGAUGGUCUGUUAUUUUGGGUACACAUGUCCUAGACGGGCCCAACCCCUGUGUUGAGUCCCCAAAGUCAAAUGCACAUGAUGCAAACAAACGUUCCUACUAGGGAUCCGGCAUGAGGUUAUGUUAUUCUAAGUUUAAACCUGGGGUUGUGUUCUUGACCUGGCUUACCCGACCGGACUAAUGGGGUCGAAGAGGGGGCAACGUACCGGGAGCACUAAAGACUACUCGGCCUUGCUGCUGGCCCAGCCUCGUUCUAUUUGGUAUAAUUUCUACAAAAAAAGCGGACCACACGAACGUGUGCACCAUUUUCAGAAGACAGUUAUAUACAAUUCAAACAAUAUUAAACUGGUAAAUAGAUAGCAUUUAGCACAAAAGGUUCACAGAAUACAGUAAUAUGAACAACAAAUAAAGCCAAGUAAACAUCAUAUUAACAAGCUCGAAUUCUUGAACCCUGAACCAGAGAUUCUGGGUUCCUGUCCCCAGCAGAGUCACCAGAGCUGUCACACCUCCUUUUCACUACACCGAAAGGGUGUAAGGGAGUUUUUUCCAAUUUAAGUGACAAUCGAAACGGGAUUAUUUAUAUUAAAUUCAGAGUUGCCACUUGGGAUAAUUUAUGGUGUCCCAAGUCACUGGUUUAAAAUCCCGAAUCGAGGAAAGUUAACUCUAUUUACGGUCUGCGAACACAGAAAACCAAGUAAGGAAUUCUGUUAACGGGAGAAGGUGUUAGGCAUUCCCGAGUUUCGUGGUUCUAGCACGGUCACUUUGAUCAUACUUGGCUUAAACAAAUUGUUUGAUUACUGAUUUUAGAACCUAUGUGCAUUUGCCUUUUUUAAUUAAGAAAUUAUCUUGAAAUGGGUCACACGUACGUGUACCCAUUUGUUUGGCGCGUCAAAAAUCAUGUCACGCGAACGUGUCCACAAUUAAUAACGCUUUAUUAUUAAAAAAAAAUUGGCCAAAGUUGUGUGAACGCAUACUACGGUUUUGUUUUUAGAAUCGUAAUUAUGUCACGCGAACGUGUCCACAAUCACAAUGAUACAUUAAACGGGCCUAAAGAAACCACGAGCAUUUUUCAUUUUUAUAUCUAGGUUAUGAAAUUAAUACGAGGGUCAUGAAUGAUUAAAUUGUGGAUGGCACACCUCGGGCUAUGUGAACUAUAUUUCAAUUAGUGGCCUAUUACAAGAAUUUUAUUAUUAAGAAGGUUUGAUCGAAGUUGCACGAACGCAUACUCCGAAUUAGUUUUCAGAAUCGUAAUUAUGUCAGGCGAACGUGUACACAAUCGCGAUGAUAUAUUAAAUCGUGCCUAAAGCAAGCUACGAGGUUCAAAGCAUUUUUCUAUAUUAGUAAAGAUAUAGAUAUGAGGGCCAUAGACUAUGUGAUAGGAGGGCCAGAGCUGUCACACUAUUCGAGCCAACAUCUACAAAUUGUAUAUGGGAAAUCAAAAUUUCUUACACAAAAUAUAGCUACUUUUAACGAGUGUCAACUUUUAAUUGAAUUGGGUAACUAUUUGAGACAAUACUCAAAAGCAAAUCCUAUAAGGUAAUGCCUUUUUGAAAUGAUAGCAUAUCAAAAGGAUGAUUGUGGUGAUUUUCUACUCUCUUGCAUUAUAACUCUCUCAGUGAAACAAGUUACCUGUAUAUCAGUAGUAUCAUAAGUCAUAUCUCACUUUCCAUUUCCCACUAUUAUUGACAUGGAGUGUCCAAUUGUUUUCUCUGAUCUGAAAGUAAGGAACCUUUUCAACGACUUCAUAUCCAACUUUGAGCCUCACAUCUUGGUCUUUUUUCACAUUCAUGAUGUUCCAAGUAAAUUCAGCAGCAACUCUUGAGAAAUAUAAAUCAGAUCUCUCACUAAUAUACACUUCUAUGCACUAAAGUUUUUCAUUUCCAGAAAUUAAACUAUAUUAUGAUGUAUAUAGAGAUUCAGAUAUGAAAAUACUAAACCACAAAUAAUGUAUUCACAAUGUGUAACUUCAAAUCCAUGUCAUCAAAACCAUGUAUAUGAAAUUAAAAGGAGAUAGCAAUUAACGAUAGCAAGAAUUUUAUAAAUAGAGCAUUGUAAUAGACAGAAAUAGCAAAUGUAUAUGAAAGAAUUGAAACUCAAACCUCAAACCGGAAACAAAGAACAACGAUCUCAAAUCGAACCCCGAUGGAACUCAAGCUGGACCGGAACAUAACAGAAACUCUUCCUCAAAUCCCUUAAGGUAUAUAUCAUUGCCAGCAGUUUCAUCCUCGGCAUUCAAAUCGCCAACAAAGGAUCCCAAAUUUUGGCUCAUUAUUUGCCCCUCAUUCUAAAAGACGGAAGGGAGAGGAUCUGAAAAUACACACAACUAUUUCAUUCCCUAAUACACUUACUCAUGAUUACACAAAAAGAAAACUGGAUUUUCAAAAAAAGAGAAGGGGUGGGCAACGGCUAUUAGCCUUUGGAGAUCAGGUGGCCGCUGCUACUGGUUUCCGGCGAACAGCGAGGUGGGGUUGCACUGGUUUCGUCUUGGUGUUAAAAGUUUAUGAGCGAGGAUCUCAUUUUUUGUUCUGCCGCUGCUUAGGUCUUUUGGGUUGGAGUCCUCUCUAGGUCUAGGUCUUGUUGUUGUAGAAGAAAGGGCAAUGACUUAAGAUUUUUUGUGUCUCAAGAAGAAGAAGCUCAAGGCUCGCUGGGUGGGGGGGGUUUGAAGAAGACGGGUUUCACGGGGUGGGGUCUAAUUUGCUGAAAACGGCGCUCAUCAGGUGUAUAGGUCUUUAGGUCUAUGUUGUAUAUUUUGUGUAUUUUUCAGCUCC